AAAACAAUUUAAAGAAGGUGCUGGGUUGUCCUAUAUGUUGGAGAAGCUUCUUCCUUUUAUUAUCACACCAAAACCAAACCAACAAACGAAACCAAUCCACUCUCUCUCUCUCUCUCUAGAGUGCAACCAUGUCUCACUUCGGUAGGUCUGGCCCUCCUGACAUCUCUGACACAUACUCUCUUCUCGUCCUCAAUAUCACCUUCCGUACCACGGCCGAUGAUCUAUUUCCUCUUUUCGACAAGUACGGAAAGGUUGUCGAUAUCUUCAUCCCCAGAGACCGAAGGACUGGAGAGUCGAGGGGUUUUGCGUUUGUGCGUUACAAGUAUGCAGACGAGGCUCAUAAGGCAGUGGACAGGCUUGAUGGAAGAGUUGUUGAUGGCCGAGAGAUAACAGUUCAAUUUGCUAAAUAUGGACCCAAUGCUGAGAGGAUCCAUAAAGGAAGGAUUAGUGAAGCUUCUCCAAGAUCAAGGUAUAGAUCAAGAAGUCGCAGUCCUAGGAGAAGAUAUCGGGAUGACUACAGGGACCGAGACUAUCAGAGAAGAAGUCGCAGUGGAAGUUAUGAUAGAUAUGAGCGUGACCGUUACCAUAGGAGGGACAUGGAUUAUCAUAGUCGAAGGAGAAGCAGGAGUCCUAGUUCUGAUUAUAACAGAAGGGUAAGGGACCGCUAUCAAGAUGAUGGACCGAGUCGGGGUCAGAGUCGCAGUCACAGUCGAAGUAACAGUCGCAGCCGAAGUCGAAGUCGCAGUCGAUCUGUUGAUAGUGCCUCCCCAGCUCGGCGUGGUCGUGGUCCUGAAAGAAGUCUUUCCCCACGAAGAACUCCAUCACCAAGUGGUGAAAGCUUAGAUGGACGGCGGAGGAAUGGAAAAUCUUCUUCCCGGAGUGUGUCUCCUUAAAAUGAUUUCUCAAAUUUCAACCCUAAGAUAUUAAAAUGCUGAGGAGUUAUGUUAUUAGGGAAGAUGGAAACUCCCAAGAGGGCUUUAGUAGUUGCUUGUAGCUGUUCAGUUAAUGAUGAGGACCUUUGAUCAUCAUAUUGAACAGGGUCAUACAGAAGGAUGUGUGGCUGUUCGUUGCUGCAACUUUGAUGGCUGAUUUUAGAAGAAUGAGUUGAUUUUGCAGUUUAUUGAUCACAGAAACAAUAAGUUAAGUAAUUUUUACCCAAUGAUAUCAUUAUUGCUGAGACUUAAGGUUUAGCUCAUAAUUUUAGAAAGUAUUGUGUCUUUAGGAUUUCUUUUUUAAUAAUCACAUUCCUACAAUUUAAAGAAUGGUAAAGACCUAGAUGUAGGUUUAGGUUGUUGCCAGUAUUUUUGGAAGUACAAAAUAUUGGUUAAGAAUAAUAAUGUAGUUUAAGAUUGAUUUGUUAAGACUUGAAGAUUCACUGUAUAAUAGGAUCUUAAAAUAGUAAUGAUAAAUGUAUCCUUAUUAUAA